rnacentral:rRNA from 1 species
UACGUAGGGUGCGAGCGUUGUCCGGAAUUAUUGGGCGUAAAGAGCUCGUAGGCGGUGUGUCACGUCGGUCGUGAAAACCUGCAGCUUAACUGUGGGCGUGCGGUCGAUACGGGCAUCACUGGAGUUCGGCAGGGGAGACUGGAAUUCCUGGUGUAGCGGUGAAAUGCGCAGAUAUCAGGAGGAACACCGAUGGCGAAGGCAGGUCUCUGGGCCGAUACUGACGCUGAGGAGCGAAAGCGUGGGGAGCGAACAGG